rnacentral:lncRNA from 1 species
GUAAAUUGGUGAUUAUAAAUAUGAUAAAACAUGAAAUGCAAUUUCUGCUCAAAUAUUUUAAACCGAAUACGAAAAUCGAAGCCUAUUCUACUAUGUGUGACAUUUUUUGUAUAUAAAUAUAUAUUUUGCAUGGUCAGGUCAGUUCAAUGACCUCUUUGAUACUGAUUGAAUAAUAAUAUGUACACUGCUCGCAACUCCCUACAUGUAAUUUCUGUUGUGUAUAUAUUCAUGUAUAUCAUCUAAUUGUAACAAGACAUGUUGUAUCAACAGGUUCAUAUUAUAAACAAAUAUUUACUCACCAUAUCUUUGAUAUUAAUCCUUAUUGGGAAUCAAAAUCAUUAAUCCAUUUUUUUAUGAAUGAACUACACAUCCCUUUAACAAAUCGCACGUGGUAAAUGAUCACUCGACCAGAAAUUUAAUGUAAUCGAAAUUAACAUAACAAAAGACUUGAUGUACGAUAAAAUUGAAACUGCUUAAUAAAUACAGGUAGCCUUUGUGAGAAAUAAAUGAAGAUAAAAAACAAACUUUAUUCAAAUAAUUAUAUAUGGUGAGAUGUAUAGAUAUAUAGAUCGAUAUUGAUUGCAGGUACAUGUACAUUUGUACAAGGAUAGAUAAUAUUUAUAAAGGUUGAUGAUAAUAAUUUAUAGUGGGAGUUUUUUUUUCUCAUUUGCUUUUCCCCGACAAAUGAGAC